GACGAACGCUGGCGGCGUGCUUAACACAUGCAAGUCGAGCGGUAAGGCCCUUUCGGGGGUACACGAGCGGCGAACGGGUGAGUAACACGUGGGUGACCUGCCCUCAGCUCUGGGAUAAGCCUGGGAAACCGGGUCUAAUACUGGAUAUGACUCCAUGACGCAUGUUGUGGGGUGGAAAGCCUUGUGCGGCUGAGGAUGGGCCCGCGGCCUGUCAGCUUGUUGGUGGGGUGANGGCCUACCAAGGCGACGACGGGUAGCCGGCCUGAGAGGGCGACCGGCCACACUGGGACUGAGACACGGCCCAGACUCCUACGGGAGGCAGCAGUGGGGAAUCUUGCGCAAUGGGCGAAAGCCUGACGCAGCGACGCCGCGUGAGGGAUG
rnacentral:rRNA from 1 species